rnacentral:rRNA from 1 species
UACGUAGGGGGCAAGCGUUGUCCGGAAUCAUUGGGCGUAAAGAGCGUGUAGGCGGCCCGGUAAGUCCGCUGUGAAAGUCCAGGGCUCAACCUCGAGACGCCGGUGGAAACCGUAAGGCUAGAGUCCGGAAGAGGAGAGUGGAAUUCCUGGUGUAGCGGUGAAAUGCGCAGAUAUCAGGAAGAACACCCGUGGCGAAGGCGGCUCUCUGGGACGGUACUGACGCUGAGACGCGAAAGCGUGGGGAGCGAACAGG